UACCAGCAGUCGAAGUCGGGGAUGAAGCCUGGCUCCCAUAGGAGUCCGGGCAGAGUCCACCUGCAAUUGGCAUCAGGGGCGAAGUCCGGCUCCCGUAGGAGUCCGGAUGAAGUUUUCCUGCAGCCGGAGUUGAGAACGAGGUCCGGCACCCGUAGGAGUCCAGGCGAGGUCCACCUGCAAUUAGAGUCAGGGGCAAAGUCUGGCUCCCGUAGGAGUCCAGAUGAAGUUUACCAGC
rnacentral:lncRNA from 1 species